GACGAACGCUGGCGGCGUGCCUAAUACAUGCAAGUCGAACGCAUUUUCUUUCACCGUAGCUUGCUACACCGAAAGAAAAUGAGUGGCGAACGGGUGAGUAACACGUGGGUAACCUGCCCAUCAGCGGGGGAUAACACUUGGAAACAGGUGCUAAUACCGCAUAAUUCCAUUUACCGCAUGGUAGAUGGGUGAAAGGCGCUUUUGCGUCACUGAUGGAUGGACCCGCGGUGCAUUAGCUAGUUGGUGGGGUAACGGCCUACCAAGGCUGCGAUGCAUAGCCGACCUGAGAGGGUGAUCGGCCACACUGGGACUGAGACACGGCCCAGACUCCUACGGGAGGCAGCAGUAGGGAAUCUUCGGCAAUGGACGCAAGUCUGACCGAGCAACGCCGCGUGAGUGAAGAAGGUUCUCGGAUCGUAAAACUCUGUUGUUAGAGAAGAACAAGGAUGAGAGUGGAAAGUUCAUCCCUUGACGGUAUCUAACCAGAAAGCCACGGCUAACUACGUG
rnacentral:rRNA from 1 species